rnacentral:tRNA from 1 species
GGGUGUAUGUCAGUGGUAGAGCGUGUGCUUAGCAUGCACAAGGUCCUGGGUUCAAUCCCCAGUACCUCCA